rnacentral:rRNA from 1 species
AGCACGUAGGUGGGUUUGUAAGUCAGAUGUGAAAGCCUUCUGUUCAACGGAAGAAUUGCAUCUGAAACUGCGAAUCUUGAGUGUAGGAGGGGAGAAUGGAACUUCUGGUGGAGCGGUGAAAUGCGUAGAUAUCAGAAGGAACGCCGGCGGCGAAAGCGAUUCUCUGGCCUAUUACUGACACUGAGUGUGCGAAAGCUAGGGGAGCAAACGGGAUUAGAUACCCCGGUAGUCCUAGCCGUAAACGAUGGGCACUAAGUAGAGGGGUUUU